rnacentral:rRNA from 1 species
GUAGGGAAUAUUGGGCAAUGGAUGCAAGUCUGACCCAGCCAUCCCGCGUGCCGGAAGAAGGCCCUCAGGGUUGUAAACGGCUUUUGAUGGUGAAGAAUCGACAGGAUGCGUCCUGUUUUGACGGUAGCCGUUGAAUAAGCACCGGCUAACUCCGUGCCAGCAGCCGCGGUAAUACGGAGGGUGCGAGCGUUGUCCGGAUUUAUUGGGUUUAAAGGGUGCGUAGGCUGGAAGGUCAGUCAGCGGUGAAAAGCUGUCGCUUAACGAUAGUCUUGCCGCAGAUACUUCCUUUCUUGGAUGAGGAGGAGGCCACUGGAACGGAUGGUGUAGCGGUGAAAUGCAUAGAUAUCAGCCAGAACACCGAUUGCGAAGGCAGGUGGCUGUACCUUAAUCGACGCUGAUGCACGAAAGCAUGGGGAGCAAACAGGAUUAGAUACCCCAGUAGUCC